rnacentral:rRNA from 1 species
AUGAAUAAGGCCAUCAAUGUCGAGACUGGUCUGCAGGAAUACCAGAGCUCUCAGAGGCGCAACCGUGACACGGGCUCAUCUUCGGGCUCACCCUCACAGAAGCGUAAGAUAUGGAUCCCGAACAGCAUGUAUCGUCCAAAUGCAACUGCUCCCAGGAAAUCUUAUGCUGCACCGCGUCUGCCUCCUCCACCAUCUAAGCAGUCAAAGCUACCAGCUCCCCCACCUGGGGCUCCUGUUCCCACUCCCGAUAAUGGUCUGUGCUUCAAGUGUGGUCAACCGGGUCACUUUGCCAGGAACUGCUAUCAGAACCAGAAUCAACUGGCCCUUCCAGCAGCUGGCCGUGGUAACAACCAGCCCCGCAACAACAAUGCUAAGUCUCAUGGUCGCGCUCAUGCCAACCACGUUGAUCUCAGCGAAGCUCAAGACCAGCCUGCUACUGUGAUGGGUACACUCCUCGUAAAUUCAGUACCAGCAUCCGUUUUAUUUGAUACAGGAGCAUCCCAUUCAUUCAUAUCUGCAGAAUUUGCAUUCCUGCAUGGCAUUAAUUACGAAGAGAUAAACACUCCGCUAGUGGUACACACCCCUGCGGGCCAAUGUCAAACCACUAUGGUUAGUCACGAUGUUACUGUUGAAAUUGAAGGACUGGAAUUUCUUGUCUCUCCCAUCGUACUGAAGUCCUGUAGCAUUGAUCUCAUUCUGGGAAUGAAUUGGUUAAAAGCGCAUACUGCUUCAAUCGUUUGCACCACUAAGACCGUCCAUCUGCUACACCCUUCAGAUGAGAUAGUUACUUACCAAGCCCAUCUGGUGCAAAAUGCCGAGGCAAGGCUCUAUGCAUUGAAUGCAUUGAAUGCUGCACCACUCGAGGGCAUUGAAAACAUUCCCGUCGUGCGUGAAUUCCUCGACGUCUUUCCUGAAGAACUUCCAGGGAUUCCCCCUGCUAGAGCUGUCGAAUUCAUCAUCGACUUGAAACCAGGCACCACUCCUAUAGCCAAGCGACCCUACAAGAUGCCGCCGCAUGAACUCCUUGAGCUUAAGGAGGAAAUCGACAAUUCUCUUCGCAAAGGAUUCAUUCGCCCAAGUUGCUCUCCUUGGGGAGCACCUUCUCUCUUUGUCAAGAAGAAGGAUGGGACAAACCGAUUAGUUCAAGACUACCGUCCUAUAAACCAAGCUACCAUUCAGAAUAAAUACCCUCUUCCUCGGAUCAAUGAUCUGUAUGAUCAACUGGCGGGUUCGUCAGUGUUCUCUAAGCUCGACUUGAGGUUGGGCUACCACCAGAUCCGUGUUCGCGAAGAGGAUAUCCCAAAGACCGCCUUCGUGACUCGCUAUGGUUCAUACGAGUACACCGUCAUGUCUUUCGGUUUAACCAAUGCUCCAGCCACCUUCUCUCGUCUGAUGAACUACAUAUUCAUGGAUUAUCUCGACAAGUUCGUCGUGGUUUAUCUGGAUGAUAUCCUGAUAUUUUCCAAGAACGAAGAAGAACAUGCUGAACAUCUUCGUCUUGUGCUGGAAAAGCUACGAGAACAUCAACUAUAUGCCAAGUUCUCUAAAUGUGAAUUUUGGCUACCGGAAGUAACCUAUCUGGGGCAUGUCAUCUCUAAGGAUGGUAUUGCCGUCAACCCCGAGCGAGUUCAGGCUAUUCUUGAUUGGACUCCUCCCAAUAACGUUAAGCAAGUCAGAAGUUUUCUCGGUCUCGCUAGCUAUUGCCGUCGAUUUGUCGAGAACUUCUCCAAGAUCGCCAGGCCUCUGACUAACCUGUUACAUAAGGGCGUCAAGUUCCAAUGCACAGACAAAUGUCAGGAAAGUUUCCAAGCACUCAAAGACAAGUUGACUUCUGCCCCAGUUCUAGCUCCACCUGAUACUAAGAAGGACUUCGUCAUCUAUUGCGACGCUUCCCGUCAAGGAUUAGGCUGUGUCCUAAUGCAAGACCGCAAAGUGAUUGCUUAUGCCUCUCGACAAUUGCGCCCUCACGAAGAGAACUACCCAGUUCACGACCUCGAACUUGCUGCUGUCAUACAUGCGCUGAAGCAGUGGCGACAUUACCUUCUCGGUAAUCGUUGCGAGAUCUUCACUGACCACCAAAGUCUGAAGUAUCUGUUUACUCAGCCAGAUCUGAACCUCCGUCAGCAGAGAUGGAUGGAGCUUGUUGCAGACUUUGACUUGGGUAUUUCCUAUACUCCAGGCACGGCUAAUGUAAUGGCUGAUGCCUUGAGCCGCAAGUCUUACUGCAACCACCUCCAGGUUCAUAAAGUUCAGCCCUCGCUUGUUGAAGAAUUCAGGAAGCUGAACCUCCAUAUUGUUCCUCCGGGUGCACUCGCUCCCCCUCCUAAGGAGUUCCGCAAGAUGAACCUCCGUGUUGUUCCCCAGGGUUCCCUCAAUACCCUGGUCGUCGAACCAGAUCUCCUGGACUCCAUCAAGAGAAUACAGGGGUAUGACUCUGAAGCCUACAAGAUUAAGCGCUACCUCGCAGAAGGAAAGCCCUCAUUCUUCACCAUUUCUGAAGAUGGCACCCUAUACUUCAAGGGCCGCCUAGUGGUGCCAUGUGUAGAGAAAAACCUGGAUAUGACACAGGAAGUUAUGAAAGAAGCUCAUGAUACGCCUCUAUGUAUCCAUCCUGGUAGUACAAAGAUGUACCAAGACAUCCGUCAGAGAUUCUAG